rnacentral:rRNA from 1 species
GCUUCUCUUGAGAGCGGCGGACGGGUGAGUAAUGCCCACGAAUCUGCCUGGUAGUGGGGGAUAACGUUCGGAAACGGACGCUAAUACCGCAUACGUCCUACGGGAGAAAGCAGGGGACCUUCGGGCCUUGCGCUAUCAGAUGAGCCUAGGUCGGAUUAGCUAGUUGGUGGGGNAAUGGCUCACCAAGGCGACGAUCCGUAACUGGUCUGAGAGGAUGAUCAGUCACACUGGAACUGAGACACGGUCCAGACUCCUACGGGAGGCAGCAGUGGGGAAUAUUGGACAAUGGGCGAAAGCCUGAUCCAGCCAUGCCGCGUGUGUGAAGAAGGUCUUCGGAUUGUAAAGCACUUUAAGUUGGGAGGAAGGGCAGUUACUUAAUACGUAAUUGUUUUGACGUUACCGACAGAAUAAGCACCGGCUAACUCUGUGCCAGCAGCCGCGGUAAUACAGAGGGUGCAAGCGU